CUGCUCCCGGUCACGUCUGUUUUCCUGGUUUCCUCAGGGACUCUGCUCCACUGCGCUACAUAAACCACCAGACAGAACCCUCUGUGUCCUUUGGGAACAGUCUCUGAGGCACAUUGUGCAGCUCUCCCCUUUGCUCCAGUUUGUUUAAACUUAAAUGUAGCCGGCAUUUAUCAGAGAGUGAGUACUGAAAAA
rnacentral:lncRNA from 1 species